rnacentral:rRNA from 1 species
AUUGAACGCUGGCGGCAGGCCUAACACAUGCAAGUCGAGCGAGCGGAGGACGGUUGAGUAAUGUCUGGGAAACUGCCUGAUGUAGGGGGAUAACUACUGGAAACGGUAGCUACUACCGCAUACCAUCAGAUGUGCCCAGAUGUGAGUAGCUAGUAGGUUGGGUAACGGCUCACCUAGGCGACGAUCCCUAGCUGGUCUGAGCGGAUGACCAGCCACACUGGAACGGAGACACGGUACAGACGCCUACGGGAGGCAGCAGGGGGGAAUAUUGCACAAUGGGCGCAAGCCUGAGGCAGCCAUGCCGCGUGUGUGAAGAAGGCCUUCGGGUUGUAAAGCACUUUCAGCGGGGAGGCGUUACCCGCAGAAGAAGCACCGGCUAACUCCGUGCCAGCCGCCGCGGUAAUAC